rnacentral:rRNA from 1 species
CCUACGGGUGGCAGCAGUGAGGAAUAUUGGUCAAUGGGCGCGAGCCUGAACCAGCCAAGUCGCGUGAGGGAUGACGGUCCUAUGGAUUGUAAACCUCUUUUUUCAGGGAGCAAAAGGCGCCACGAGUGUCGUUCUGAGAGUACGCUAAGAAAAAGCAUCGGCUAACUCCGUGCCAGCAGCCGCGGUAAUUCGGAGGAUUCGAGCGUUAUCCGGAUUUAUUGGGUUAAAGGGGUGCGAAGGCGGAUGAUAACGUCAGAGGUAAUAGUGAGAGGCCAAACCUCUUCGGGCAUUUGACACUGGUUGUCUUGAGUGCACGAGAGGUAUGCGGAAUUCGUGGUGUAGCGGUGAAAUGCAUAGAUAUCACGAAGAACUCCGAUUGCGAAGGCAGCUUACUGGACUGCAACUGACGCUGAUGCACGAAAGUGUGGGUAUCGAACAGGAUUAGAUACCCUUGUAGUC